CCUACGGGUGGCUGCAGUGGGGAAUAUUGGACAAUGGGCGAAAGCCUGAUCCAGCCAUGCCGCGUGUGUGAAGAAGGCCUUCGGGUUGUAAAGCACUUUCAGUGGGGAAGAAAGCCUUGGGGCUAAUACCCUCGAGGAAGGACAUCACCCACAGAAGAAGCACCGGCUAACUCCGUGCCAGCAGCCGCGGUAAUACGGAGGGUGCGAGCGUUAAUCGGAAUUACUGGGCGUAAAGCGCGCGUAGGCGGUCUGAUAAGCCGGUUGUGAAAGCCCCGGGCUCAACCUGGGAACGGCAUCCGGAACUGUCAGGCUAGAGUGCAGGAGAGGAAGGUAGAAUUCCCGGUGUAGCGGUGAAAUGCGUAGAGAUCGGGAGGAAUACCAGUGGCGAAGGCGGCCUUCUGGACUGACACUGACGCUGAGGUGCGAAAGCGUGGGUAGCAAACAGGAUUAGAUACCCUUGGUGUC
rnacentral:rRNA from 1 species